UAGGGAAUAUUGCACAAUGGGGGAAACCCUGAUGCAGCGACGCCGCGUGAGUGAUGAAGGCCUUCGGGUCGUAAAGCUCUGUCGUAUGGGACUAACAAAAUGAAGGUACCAUGCAAGAAAGGAUCGGCUAACUUCGUGCCAGCAGCCGCGGUAAGACGAGGGAUCCUAGCGUUGUUCGGAAUCAUUGGGCGUAAAGCGGGUGUAGGCGGACUUAUAGGUCAGGUGUGAAAUCCCAGGGCUCAACCCUGGAAGUGCACUUGAUACUGCAAGUCUUGAGUGUGGUAGAGGCUAUUAGAAUUCCUGGUGUAGUGGUGAAAUACGUAGAUAUCAGGAGGAAUACCGGAGGCGAAGGCGGAUAGCUGGGCCAACACUGACGCUGAGACCCGAAAGCGUGGGGAUCAAACAGGAUUAGAUACCCUAGUAGUCCCUGAGCGGGCUGGCAAGGCGCAU
rnacentral:rRNA from 1 species